CUUCGAAACAAGAUGUAUAUAAAGAGAGAGAAUCCUCGAAAAUAACACAAACAGGAAAACGCAUCUGUGAAAGAAACCGACAUACCAGGUACUAUUUCUCAAUAAAUAAUCAUUUUCUUUUUGUCAAUAAUUAUUAUGUUCGAUUUAUUGUAUCAAUUCUCAGAACUUUUUCUUUAUGGCUAGCCGAGUUUUUUCUUUGCUUUCUAGGAUUCGUUGCAAUCCUAGAAAGAAUGUUAUAAUCGGAAUACAAAGGCCAAUAUUCUGGUUUUCAGUUCGAUUGCGGACCUUAUUUCAUUGAUUUUAUAUGUAUAAAAUUUGUAAAUUCGGAAAAUAUGUAAAGGUUAAUGUAAGCUAGAUUUUUUUUCAGAAUAUAAGGAAAUGUAUAAAUUGGUUAGGAUUGUUGUUAUAAUUUAAAUUAUCUUUUUUUCCGUUUUGCGGAUUCAGCUUGCAUUAUAUUUGUUAUAAUUAUCAGAAUAACAUAUGUGUUUUCCAAAACUGUGUAGAAGUUUUAGAUAUUUACAAAAUGUAAUGGAGGAAACAUGCUGUAAGAAAAUUUCGUUUUGGCUCUCCAAAGAAAAUUUUGUGAAAAAGAUGGAACGAAGAGCAGUGUUUCAAUCCAUUUAGUUCUUUGUUUCUUCCUUGGGUUAUAGGGUCAAAACUUUAGCUUUUGUCUUCUCCUGUAUUAUUUUCUUGAAUAAAUUUCUGGGAUGUGGUGAAUAGUGAAUUUCUUUGAUUUAUAAGGAUUUAUAUUAUGGGAAGUAUCUCCAUUUGUUUUUGGCUAAAGUAUGGUGUUGAAGAAUUUCUUUCCAGAAAAAAGAAAGAAAAAAAAUGCAAUAGGAAGAAGAAAAAUAAUGUAUUUUGGUCCUUGUUUUAUUAUUUCCAGUUAGUUUUGGUUGUUUGUAAUGUCUGAGUUUGCAGACAGGUGAAAUUAUGAGGGGAAGAAGCUGCAGCUACAGUCCUAGUCCACACAGAGGUUACAGCAAGAGACGUCGUAGCCCUAGCCCGAGGGGUCGCUAUGGUAGUCUGAGUGAUCCCCCUACUAGUCUCUUGGUUCGCAACCUUCGCCGUGAUUGCAGGUUAGUUCAGAUGGCAUCCUCUGUCUCAUAAGUUGGAAACAUUGAUACUUUCAUAUGUUAUCUAAUCUCUAAAUGAGAACAUUCCUUUUUUCAUUUAUGGGUUUGGGGGUGGCGGUUGGGGAAGAGCUAGGGAGAGAAGAGAAAAAGUAAGUGCAGCUACUAGCAGAUAGGAAGAAAUUAAGAAAAUAUGAUUAAUUGAGAGAAUGAGCUCCUUAUGGUCUUAUUAGGGAUUAAUAUAUGUUAGCAGAAAAUGUGAAGAACUUUCAGUGUCAAAGGACUCAUAUAUGUCACGCAAACUACCUUGGGAAUUGGAACUGAGGAGUAGUCGGUCUCUGGAACAUAUACUGCUGUCAAGUAGAAAAAUGGUAUGUUUCAAUAUCAUGAUGGAAAUGCUCCUUAUUAUAUGGACUAAUUUUAGUGUACGUGCGUUGCACGUGUUUAUAGUCUCAAUAAUAUAAAUUUAUGAAUAAACUAUAUUUUUAUCAUAUAAAUAAAUUCUUGAAAUCAUAUGCUACGAUAUUAUUACAGGAAAGAAUAUGGCUAGCAGAUAGCUAUUAAUUGUUAAUAUUGUGUUUAAAUAAAAUUAAAGUAGUAUUUGAGGUAAAAACAUAGAUCAAGUGAAGAUUAUAAACUAAAUAUUAAAUGUUGUGCCACCAUAGGUUGCUCCUUAUUUAAAACAAAAUCGCACUUGGACAAGAAUAAUUGAAACUUAUUACUAAUAAGAGAAUGUUAUUCCCUCCCCAGACUCCACUUUGUGGGACUAUACUGGGUAGUUAUUGUUGUUGUUAUUCCAUUAGUUAUGGGUCUUCAUUGUUAUGAUUGUUCGCUUCUAUCUAUUCAUGUUUAAUUUCCAUUUUAUUAACUUUACAACUUCGUUUAACUCCUCUGCAAUUAAAACACUUUUCAAUCUAGUGGUCUCCAUUUAUGUAUUAAGUGAAAAAAGAAAUGUGAGUUCUUUAUUCACACUAAGUAUCAAUUGACGAUAAACAGCACAUUCUUCUUUCUAAAUUAAUAAAUAACUUAUUAGCUAAAAGUAAGAAGUAUAUAUUUACUCUAUUGUAAAAAUUUAAUAACGAUGACAUAACUAUUGAGAUUAAUAAUUAUGCACAUUGUAUUGUCGCAACCAAUUGCAUCUAAUAGCUUUGAAAAUACUAUUCUUAUGUUCUUAAUCUUUAUCAUUAGUCAAUUUUAUUUUAAUUUUUAUAUGUAUUUCUGCAUCUUAUCAUAAUGAUUAAACUAAUGAAUAAUAUAUAUUUUUAAACUUUUUAACUUUGUUUUGUGCGAAAAAAGUUAUUUAGAAAGACAUAAGCAGCGAGAGUGAGAGAAUUUUGCAACUUAUUACUUUUCAGAUUUCACUUCUUGAAUAUACUGAAUUGAGAUGAGCUUGACCUAUUGCAAAGAUUCACGGGUUAAAAGUUCAAGCAUUAAGGUUCGGAUUAAUAUCCUCCAUGCCCUUUA
rnacentral:lncRNA from 1 species